CACAAAAUGCCGUCUUUGGCCAAGCCUUCCCAGAAGGGUAGGGGGAAGAAGAAGGGUGGUAAGAAGCCGGCAAAGAUUGUCCCCGACCCGGACAGUGCGUAUCGCCAGCAGCUGGAUGAAACACUAUACAUCCCCAAGGUGGUGCGCAGGAAAGUCCUUGAUACCUAUGGGAAGGCAGCUGAUAGCGCGAUCAUGGCCAAUACCGUUGACGCCUUGCCGUCGCAGCUGGAUGCUCAUCGCGAAAGGCCGAUUUCGUUUAUCAAAGUACCAAGUAUCUUUCGGUCUCUGGGUCUUUGCUUGACUGAUGACCAGAUUGAUCAAAUAAAGGCGAUGAUUGCGCAGAAUUCUCAACACGUAUCACAGGAAAACAGCGCGGCCAACCAGAUGCAGCAGGUGCAGCGGCCUGGCACAUUUGCCGACCGUGAAAAGCUGCGCACUCUCUUGGUGGAGCUGCUCCACACCCACGUAUUGGCAUACGACCCUCAAGUGCUCACCUGCCCCCAUCCCAGAUUCCCGGAUCGUGUCUCUUCGGUGGUAUACAGCUCUACAGAAGCUGACAUUCGAUCCUGUUUUGAUAAAAUCUGGGAAGUGACUGGGAAGCAGAUGGCUAUGACUGCGGACGGGACAAAUAUCCGGUGCGUUGCCGUGGAGCAGCUGGAGGAGCUUUUGGUAAGAGCGCAAACCGAGGAGGUCGCCACGAAAGCUCUGACGGAAAAAGAGUUGCAGGACUUCUACUUUCUUGUCAAGGAUGUAAACGAUGAUGUGGUACGGGAAGACGCUUUUUUGAACUGCUUCAUUCAUGCACAAUAGUUAUCUCGACUCUCGAUUAUCAAGGGUGUUACUGCCUUUUCUUUUCAUUCACCAUACUCCUG
rnacentral:misc_RNA from 1 species